AGAACUGGUUUGAUAUUUGAUGUGACAGAGGAGUUUGAAUUGAGCUCCAGAUUUGUUGAAUCCACACUUUCUUAUGGUAAGUGACCUAUUAUUUUAUGUCUUUAUUUUUACCCUUGGCAUCAAUCUCCAGUUUUUCAGUUGUUUCUAUGGUUUUGGUUUGUGUUGUAUUAUGGGUUUUUAUGUCUGGUUGUAGUAUUGUCCAAAUCUGUUUUGAUUGAUAUUGAAUUAGUAAUGUCUUUAAGAUAAAUAUGCCUCUUUAAUGCUGUUAUGCAAGUCAUCCUUGUACUAAUUUCUUUGUAAUUUCAAAUACAGGUUGUCUUGGGACAUUGUUGGCUGCUUUGGUUCCUGUUCUAGGCUUUAAUGCCGUCAUGACAUCUGAAAAUUUUGCUUCAUUUUUGGUUAGUUCCAAUGGGCUGGUUUUCCUGCCAUUCUUGCUUUCUCAUUCGCAAUUACUGUAGCCAGGGAUUCGCUAUUACUUAUUUUAUGCUCCUCAAUCUUUUCAAAUUUAUGCCUUAUGUUGCUCUUAAUCUCUAAUUUUACUUUUCCAUUCCUGGGCAUGUACAGGUGUUUAUUAUUAUUCAUGUUGUAGCUCUUGUUUACUAUAUAUAUUAAGGGGAUUCUGUCACCAAGAAUGUUAAAAGUGGUUGUUAUGCUUGUGUUUUCAGUUGGCCUGUAAGUGCCUUUACUUGUAGUUUGUACAGAAAUUUGCUUGUUGUUAUAGUGUGUAAGUAGUAGCUUAGAGUUUCAUAAAAUUCUGAAUGACAUAUUUUUUUGCAAAUUUAACUCCAAAUACUACAAUAUAAUCUGUGAGUGCUUUCUAAGAAGUUCACAAAAACAUUGAGAUGGAAGCAACACUUGAAAAUUUGGUUGCACUUUUUGGUCCUUAUGCUGGAUUUCCAUGUUGUUCUUUAGCUUCCUGGUUGAGCUCUUCACUGUUUACAGACGAUUUUUCAUGUAGGUUCAUUGUGUUUGGGCAGCAGCAGAAGCUUGUUCAGCACCCUCCAUAGUGCUAACAUGUCAAUCUCCUGAUGGCCUUCAUGUUUUUGAUGACUUCAGAGAGGCCUAUGCAUGGUUGAGCCAUAACACAGAUGUAGAUCAUAAAGUGAGUUGUCAUUCUUUCCACAAUAUAUAUCUUCACAAAUUUUAGUAAUUUUUGUUGCACCCAGUCUAUAGAAUCCACACAAACCAAAGCCAUGAAUAGAAAUUCAAAUGGAAAUAUGAACCAGUGCCACAAAGCAAGCUGAAUGAAGUUAGCUAUUCAAAGAAAGAGAAGACCUUUUGCACAUAAGGUUGAAAUCUGCAAUUGGCAAUGCUGUUAUAUUGGAUCUCUGUUUUCCUCUUGAAGUAUAAACCUUUCAAUAAGUAAGGGUUUUGAUGUAUGCUUGGUGAAUUGGAACUAGUAUCUUAGUGCGACCUUAAGCACUUGAGGAUGAUUUAUUGGAAAAACAAUUGGUCAAGUUAAAUGGAGUUUCUGGAAAUAGUUGAUAAUAUUGGAUUCUUUUGUACAGAACAGAGUGUUAGCUUGUAUUGAGUGCACUAACGAAGCACAUGUACAUUCUUAUUUUGUUAAGGAAAAUUGUUCAGGUUAUUAUAUGAAAACAAAAGCAUAGACAUUGCAUGAUUUUCAAAGCAUAGGCAAACUGGAAAAAGCAUCUCAAAAGGCACAUGUUUAGUAAUACAUAGUGUUCUUGUAGACAUUGCAUGUUUAGUAAUACAUAGUUUGCAUGUUGAGUAAUACGUAGUGCACAUAUUUAGACAUUGCAUGCUUAGUAAUACAUAGUGCUCUUGUAGUCACUUUGCUAAAGUUCUUUUCAUGCACCUUUUUUUCUAGUAAGUUGUUAAGCAAGUGUUUUAGUUUUGUAUAUCAGGACAUCUGCUCACAAGGUUGGCAGAAAAGGGUUUUUCAUAUCAUAUAACAUCAAACCCAAUUGAAAGAUCUAUUUUGUGGAUCCAGAGCAAUUGGUGCAGGUAAUUUAGGUAUAUGUCUUUACAGUGUUUUUCUAAUGGGACAAUUUUAUAUGCUUCAUAUGUCACUUACACAGGUGCAUGCAGUUAGAUUUUAGAGUUUCCUGCUUUAGUUACACAGAUGCAAGAUAAAAAAAAAAAUUUCCUUCUCAAGCAAUGAUUGAGAUGUAUUAUGCUGAUAUUCCAAUGUCCAAUUUUCUUUCAAUGCAGUAUAGUGCUGUUAAAUGCUCACGAGGAAAUGAACAAUAGCUUGGGUUUUGGAUAUGCUCAUGAAGAUGGCUUCAUUUUGACAUAGAUUGCUACUCUAGUUUAUGUUUUUGUUUAGAGAUCUAGUACUCUAUUUUUAUGAUGGAUAAUGGUUAUUACUAUUUGAGCUGAUGUGGGCUCAAUACUUUAACUUUUUGG
rnacentral:lncRNA from 1 species